CUUGAAACAUAUCACAGACAAUGCUCAAAAUACAUAACAUAAGGCCCUUAUUAUCAUAGGUUAAAAGCAGGAAUCACCAUCCUGUUUGAAUAAAUCCAAGCAAAUAGUCUAGGUGUGAUUAUGUCAAUGAUAUCAGGAACCAAAAGGUUUCUUGAGCUAUCCGGAAAAGAGAAGAAUAUGAAAAAAAAAAAAAAAACUUCUUUUAGCACUAUACCGAGAGAAGCUUUGAGCCAAAUUCAGGAGUAAAAUCUGGAAAAAUAUCCACAUGAGUCUUCAGCAGGCAAAUCUCAGGUCCAACCUGAGAAAGAAAACCAACCAAAUAGUUAAAAGAAAAUAUAUGAUUACUGUCAAUCUUCUUCUAAUCAGAAUCCAAUUGAUGUUAAUAAGUCAGAAAACACCGAAUUCUUUAAAGUACAAAAGCAAGAAAGAAUUCUGCAAGCUGAUGAUCCGAGUGAGAAAAAUAGUAGUGUCCAAGAAAGCAACAUCAGAACUACCUUCUCAGCAAUUUCAAGCAAUUCAGCUGCAGUUCCAACAUCGGCAGCUAGACAUAAAUUACUGGUCUUCGCAGCCAUGAUCUCAAACAACCUCUUUCCCAUUGGAUUCUUUGAGAGCCUAGCCCUCUCCUCAAAUGGCAAAGCCUUGACCUUUGUU
rnacentral:lncRNA from 1 species